ACUGCUCAGUUUGUUUCUUCCUGAGUUUCCUCCCUGCAGGUGGGUGUGGCUGAGACUCACCAGCUGUUUGGCAUCAUCAUCAUGGCACCAGAGUAUUUAAGGAGCAACGUGACUCUUCUCCACUCUGGUUGAUUACUCAGUUUGGGUUCCCGUAUGCUUCAUCUACUCCUGUGACAAUAACCCCGAAUCUUCAUACCAUGUCUCGCUGCCCUCCUCUGGUCGUCCGCUCUCAGUCCCCCACCUGUCGCUACCUCCAGGAUCUUCCACUCACCCAGACCUGACUCACCUCCCCCCUGCUUCCCUUCAUCCUGAAGAAUAUCCCGUCCCGCCGAGCACCCGUCCUCCAAAUCAGCCGUUAUUCCUGCUUCUUUGCAGCGCCCUGAGCACGAUUAUUCUCCCCGUUAUUUUAAUAAAUCUUAUUUAUCUUACCUUCCGUUGUCCUUGGUGAUUCUGUAUGUCGUGGGUCAAACACCUGGUACCCAACAUGACACUUACAGAGAAGGCGUGUCCUACAACUAAGAGCACCAGGCAGCCUUUAACCCCGAAGAAGCUGGAAACAUUGAGAGGUAUGGUAUUUUUAGCUGGAUUUACAAAAUGUUUUUGAGUGUUGACAAGUAUGAAGGAGUAAA